rnacentral:rRNA from 1 species
CCUACGGGAGGCAGCAGUGGGGAAUUUUGGACAAUGGGCGAAAGCCUGAUCCAGCCAUUCCGCGUGAGUGAAGAAGGCCUUCGGGUUGUAAAGCUCUUUCGCAAGGGAAGAAAACUUAGAUACUAAUAUUAUCUGAGGUUGACGGUACCUUGAUAAGAAGCACCGGCUAACUACGUGCCAGCAGCCGCGGUAAUACGUAGGGUGCGAGCGUUAAUCGGAAUUACUGGGCGUAAAGCGUGCGCAGGCGGUUUUGUAAGUCAGAUGUGAAAUCCCCGAGCUCAACUUGGGAACUGCGUUUGAAACUACAAGACUAGAAUAUGUCAGAGGGGGGUAGAAUUCCACGUGUAGCAGUGAAAUGCGUAGAGAUGUGGAGGAAUACCAAUGGCGAAGGCAGCCCCCUGGGAUAAUAUUGACGCUCAUGCACGAAAGCGUGGGGAGCAAACAGGAUUAGAUACCCUGGUAGUCCACGCCCUAAACGAUGUCUACUAGUUGUUGGUGGAGUAAAAUCCAUGAGUAACGCAGCUAACGCGUGAAGUAGACCGCCUGGGGAGUACGGUCGCAAGAUUAAAACGUCAAAGGAAUUGACGG